rnacentral:lncRNA from 1 species
AGAAUCAGUCUGAGGCUGAAGGUCUGUGGGCUGCCUGGAGAGCUGCUUGUCCACACUGGAAGGUGGCUGAGAAGCUGGGCUUUGGUGGUAGCCUAGCAACGGAUAGACACAAAGAAGUCAGGCUUCCAAGAUGACAGAGAACAGGAGGUUGCGAUGACUACUGUUGAGACCAUUGUCAAGGGAAAGUCCUUUUCUUUUGAAGACCACUUGGAUGCUGACAUUUGCUGGAAGUGCCUAGAUUACUGCGAAGGCUUGGCUGGGUUUAUGGUUGACAAAACAUCUUUUGGUGACAUCAGAAGGGACCUACUGGUGUCCGCGUGGGCAGAAGAGAGUAGUACUACUGCUUUGAGAUAGCCAGUUGAAAGCCAGCACCUGCUUCGGUCCACAGGAAGGCAAACUAGCUCCCAUCACACAGGCUAAUGCUUUGUUCUUAGUUGAAAUCUAUACCAAGACUGCUGAGCAUCCUGGAUUCUCCAACUGGGCUGCCACAGGCAGAUUCUGGCUCAGCAUCUCAAUAUGGCAGAGAUCUUCUUCACUGCACAUGUACCCACUGGGAGGACUCAAACCUGGUAUUUCAGAACUCAGGAGAAAAAUUCACACUUUGCAUUUCUCACUGUCACAUGGAGGAGACUGUGACAAGGCCAGCUCUAGUGGCACAGGAUCAUAUGUACAAAUGGAUAUUCUUGAUAAACUUAUAGAAGUGAUGGCACAGACCCAAAGUUCCAAGCACUCCUCACUCUACCCUCAGAAGAUGCAAAGAUGAGUCCAUGCUCCAACUGAUCGCAUCUGGAUUCUAGAGUGUUCUUGAGUGUGUGAAGCUUCAAAGGAAGGAUGUUAAUGUGCUUCGAGGCAGAGGUCAGGAUGUACCUGAAGAAAGGCCUCAUACCAAAAGGUGGAUGUGAUAAGAGACCCAUUAACCAGUAGCAGAGGUCACGUGGCUUGUGUAAAGAGGAGACAUCUGGACCACGCAUGCCCAUUUUAUCACUGGACACCUUUGCAGAGAUUAUGGGGAUGAUCCAGUAACACUGCUUUUGGGUCCUGGCCCAUUGUGGACGCUCAAUUUGGCUAACAGAAGCCACGGACAGAUAAAUCACCAGCAGCCUGGUGCUUUGGCAGACAUAUUUUGGCGUCUCUGGUCAACCUUGUGGAAAAGGGAGUUCGUGCGUGGAGAGAACUUUGGAUGCUGUCAGAAGCAGCCCUCUACGGAUGUCCAGCCAUUCUGAGGCUGUGACCACUUCUAGGCAGAGACUUCUAGAGACUUCUGGCAUAGCUCCUGGAAUUCAGUGGAUUUUCAAGACAUACUUAUAUUUAAUGAAUUAACAAUAAAAGGAGAAGUAAGGACA